rnacentral:rRNA from 1 species
GAUGAACGCUGGCGGCGUGCCUAAUACAUGCAAGUCGAACGAAACUUCUUUAUCACCGAGUGCUUGCACUCACCGAUAAAGAGUUGAGUGGCGAACGGGUGAGUAACACGUGGGCAACCUGCCCAAAAGAGGGGGAUAACACUUGGAAACAGGUGCUAAUACCGCAUAACCAUAGUUACCACAUGGUAACUAUGUAAAAGGUGGCUAUACUACCGCUUUUGGAUGGGCCCGCGGCGCAUUAGCUAGUUGGUAGGGUAAAGGCUUACCAAGGCAAUGAUGCGUAGCCGAAUUGAGAGGUUGAUCGGCCACAUUGGGACUGAGACACGGCCCAAACUCCUACGGGAGGCAGCAGUAGGGAAUCUUCCACAAUGGGCGAAAGCCUGAUGGAGCAACGCCGCGUGGGUGAAGAAGGUCUUCGGAUCGUAAAACCCUGUUGUUAGAGAAGAAAGUGCGUGAGAGUAACUGUUCACGUUUCGACGGUAUCUAACCAGAAAGCCACUGCUAACUACGUG